UGUGUAUGUUAUGUUGUAUUAUAAAUCUUGGUAUGGUAGUCUAGAUUAAAUUUUAUGCAUAUAAAUUAGAUUAAAUUAUUUAAUCUAAUAGUUUCGUUGCAUGAAAUUUUAAAAUUGCAUGCAUAGUACUGUCCUAUGUUUUCUUCAAUUGGUAUCAGAGCCAGAUUCCUUUAUGAUAUAAUUUAAUAUACUUUUAGAUCUGAUUAUAUACUAUUAGAUCUAAUUAUUUAUUAUUUAGAUUAGAUC
rnacentral:lncRNA from 1 species